GCCGGAAUAGCUCAGUUGGUAGAGCAGGGGACUGAAAAUCCUCGU
rnacentral:tRNA from 44 species